UUGCAGAAGAAAUUUCAGACAUAAAAUCAACCUCGAGUGUUUCAGAAUCAAAAGAACUUCAAACAAAGAGGAUCUGACAUUCUGUAGACAAGCAGCUGUGUAAAUCCUGAGUAAAUUGGACUUUACAGGAAGCAAUGAGCCGCUUGCAUCUAAUAUGUGAUAUUUGGCUACCCUUAACUUGGAAUGUGGAGUAUUUACAAACCAUGAAUACCAGAGCAGAAAGAAAAAUAAAGUGGAUGAUGUCACCGCAAGAACCUUUAAAAAUGUUGCUUUAAAGCUAGCAUCCAUGACGGUGCUUGCUUGUACAGCAUGAUUGAAGGAAUAUCUUCUAAAAUAUAUGUAAUAAAUUAGUAUUAGUGGAUGCAUUUGUAAAUGUGAAUCUGUUUUACAAUGUGCUCUAACCUAAACUGUAUCAAAGUAGAUUCUAUUAAGGUUGUGCUAAAUUCUAGCAAGUAGAUGCAGACCCUUUAAACCAAUAUUUAUUGACUUCAUAACCUGAAGUUGCCUUAGAUUGUAAGAUGUAGUAAUGCUGAAACAAAGGCAUUUUGGCUAAAAUGUUAUUCUCCAAACUUGAAAAAUUUUAAGCAAUUAUUUUUUUAACUAAUGCUUCUUUAAUUGUUGUAAUGGUUUGAAGUGUACGAUCACAUGCAGUUUUGGGUAUACCUUGUGAUACUGUUUUCUGUGCCUUUCCAUAUGAUGCAUUUAAUCUAUGCAUAGCCUCAAAAAACUGAAUGGUCUGCAAAAACUUGGUUAAUGGCAGAAAAUGUUUUGUUAGCAGUAUCACUUUCACUUUAAGUAUUCAUCACAUUUAGUGUGAAACAGGUCUUGCUAUAAUUUACAGCUUUUACGCUCAAGCUUCCAUUUAUUUUAUGGCAUUAUUUCAUUUGAAAAAUGCCACAAAAUAAAAUGCAAGCAUCUUUGCUACCAGCCAUAGGAGCACUUCAACUGAUUUGUCUGUCUCUACAUGUAACCACAUGUAUUGCUAAUCACGUGAGCAUUUCUUUAUCUGUAACAUGCAAAUGUUUCCAUUUGCUUCAGACUACUUUUCCUUGUUUAAUGUGAUCUGCACCCCUUGUGUAAUGUAUAACAAAUAUUGUACAUCUUUAAUAUUUGGUGAUCAAGAGAAAAAUAUCCAAGAAAGAUGUGAACGUGCAACUUAAAAUAGGCCCAGAACGUUUAGUAUAUGGACCAAAUUAUAGAUAGCUUUGAAAAUGCGGCAGUUAAUUAAGCUCAUGCUUGCCUUGUAGGCAAUAUUCCUGUAGUACAUUAUAGAGCAUUUAAAUUAAAUAGGUGUGUUGAUGAAUGUUACACAUGUAGGCAGAUAAUACUUCGUGAAUCAUCCAUGAAGUAUACAAUUAUGCAUUAUCAAGAGACCAAUGUAUUUAGUUGUGAUUGUACAUAUAAUUAAUAUUUCAAGUUAAAGAUUAAAUAUUGUUAAAUGCA